rnacentral:misc_RNA from 1 species
UACGGAGGGUGCGAGCGUUAAUCGGAAUUACUGGGCGUAGAGCGCGCGUAGGUGGCUUGAUAAGCCGGUUGUGAAAGCCCCGGGCUCAACCUGGGAACGGCAGCCGGAACUGUCAGGCUAGGGUGCAGGAGAGGAAGGUAGAAUUCCCGGUGUAGCGGUGAAAUGCGUAGGGAUCGGGAGGAAUACCAGUGGCGAAGGCGGACUUCUGGACUGACACUGACACUGAGGUGCGAAAGCGUGGGGAGUAAACAGG